GUAACCAUAACAACGCCAGUCCGACUUUCAGUCAACGUCACAUCGACAAUAAAGUCUCGUUUCAGCUCGGUUUUCUCCGAGGGUUGAUAGCUGUCGCAGGAUGCCUUUGAUACGAGCCCAAAAAAAGAUUGUGGGAGAACGAGUGAGGAUUUCCACGUAAUUUAACUAAGGGCAGAUUAAAGGUAUAUCAAAGAGACUGGACCAGGCCUGGUGAAAACGAUUACCAAGAGGAAAUGGAUGGCUUAACCCGAUUUCAUACAGGAGUCGUCAUACAGGAGUGUGAGAUACACACACACACACACACUAUGCUGUCUCAGCAUGAAGGCAUUAAUAAUUCAACAUUGGCUAGAUGUCUUGGCCCCCGAUUCUGAACACUGAAUCCACUCAAAUAUUCAUUAAUUUGACUCUUAAAGACUCUUUCAAUAGCAACCAGCAAACACAAAUAUAAUGAAUCUUUAAAGUCUUUAUUCAAUCACAAUCAUGUUUCUCUAACUAAAACAUCUGAAGAAUAUGUGAGUCGCUGUUUUAUGUAAUGACAUAAUCAAUAAUCUAUCUAUCUACUGUAUUACAUAAUAAAAAUAUCAUUUUAUUUAAA